CUCCCUUCAUCCAUCCAUCAAUCCAUUAGAAUGCAGUAACGUCUCAGUCAUUACAGCUGAACGGACGUGCUGGGCCAGCUCUCCUUUACCCGUUAUCUUGGAUGAGGGUUUACAGUUAGAUGAUCAACGAUUUACUACUUUAGAUGACAGAAACCAAUCCAACGCCGUACAGUAGACGUAGUAACAUGCACUCCAAAACCCAUUGUAUCAUGGGGGAGUGUUAUGCUGAUUAACGUCCAAGGGCUGUAUCCUAGGUGUUAGAUGACUGACCUUCAUUUCACUGCCUCGUGGCUUUGGUCCUGAUAAUGCUUCCUGUCAUCUUUAAUACUACAUCCACGAUUCAUCUACCAGUACUCCAUCAUUGAGGUUAGUGGGCUGCCAAGCUGACCAAUCUGGCCCUGAAAGCAGCCGUUGUGAAGAAUAUAACAUCAAAUUAGUAAACAAACCAAAUCAAAACAGUUCACAAAACCAAGAUGGCGACCUCCAAAAUGGCGACCACCACUCGUUCCUAACCGAUGGCACAACAUUAUUUAAAUGCUCACCAAUCGCCUUUCGGGCACCAAGUCGACCGUUCGAGGGCUGUAUAGCCAGUCAAGGUCGUUAAACACUUCCAUAUAUUCGGGAAGUUACUUCCGUGAAUUCUGAAUUAAAACAGCACGUUGAGAAGAUAAACUUGUUCUGUCGAUAAAUGUCGUAUUAUAUUAAAAACGAUCGCACUUUAAACCGAGGAAUGUGUACGGAAAGAAGUUAUGAUCACUGACCCAAAGGAAAUUAAAUAUUUAAAGAGUUAGGAAUGGGGUUCCUUCCUAGAAUUAACGUAGGAAAAUAGGUGAUACAUGUAAGAUAUGAAAUGAAAUAUCUUCUCUCACUCUGAGUCUCAGUGACUGCUGAGGAAAGUAAACUUAUUAUUGAUAGUACAAAACUAAAACACAAUAGGCCU
rnacentral:lncRNA from 1 species